rnacentral:rRNA from 1 species
ACUCAAAGGAAUUGACGGGGGCCCGCACAAGCAGUGGAGUAUGUGGUUUAAUUCGAAGCAACGCGAAGAACCUUACCAGGGCUUGACAUGGAGACGACCGCUGUAGAGAUACAGCUUUCUUCGGACGUCUCACACAGGUGGUGCAUGGUUGUCGUCAGCUCGUGUCGUGAGAUGUUGGGUUAAGUCCCGCAACGAGCGCAACCCCUAUUGUCAGUUGCUAACAUUUAGUUGAGAACUCUGGCAAGACUGCCGGCGACAAGUCGGAGGAAGGUGGGGACGACGUCAAAUCAUCAUGCCCCUUAUGUCCUGGGCUACACACGUACUACAAUGGCCGUAUAACAACAGGAAGCGAAACCGCGAGGUGGAGCAAAUCCCCAAAAACGGUCUCAGUUCAGAUCGCAGGCUGAAACUCGCCUGCGUGAAGUCGGAAUUGCUAGUAAUCGCGAAUCAGCAUGUCGCGGUGAAUACGUUCCCGGGCCUUGUACACACCGCCCGU